UUUUCUAUAGUAAAAUAAAUUACGAUGGCUUUUCAUGCCAUAAUUCUAAUAGUAAAAGUUAGUAGAAAAU
rnacentral:tRNA from 1 species